rnacentral:lncRNA from 1 species
AUGCAAUCUGGAUUUCCACACAGCCAAGGAGGGGCAUAUCCUGCGGUCCAACACUGGCGUGCUCUUACAUCAUUUCAAGACAACAAUGUUACACCUGUACCACUGGUUCACCCUGCAAAUGGAAUACAAAAUAACGUGGUAGCCACUCAAUAUCCUGGGGAGCUCAGAGUGUCUUACAAUCCAGCUCAGUGGCAGCAAGACAAUACACAAUCGCAACAACAUUUCCAAGGACUCUACCACCAACUGGAGUCACAAGCAAGCAAUGCUUUCCGUUAUUCAUCAGCACAUGCCUCUGCCCAACACGGCGAUUCUUUUGGUACAUCUGCUAAUGAGAACUCUGUAAGGCAGUCUGUUUAUAACACCAGACAGCAAAGGGAAUGUUCCAAACAAAAAGGGUCAAAUUGGAACACAAGUAACUGUUCUGCAGCACUUCAGGGAGACACAUUUGGACACCGAGCACAGACUUUACAGGAUCAGUUGUCUUCUGUGCCCGAGAGUCACCCAUUGUUGUAUGCUUUACUGAAAGGAAACUGUGAGAGUGAGCAAGUGAAAAGUUCACUAGCUGCUAUAAACUGUGGAAAGACUAGUACAAAAAACCUGGAUUAUUCAGGAGGAACCCAUUCUGUUCCCUGUCAGCAGCAGGUCUCGUCCCCACCUUCACAGACAUCCACAGAAAACAUCUCACCAGCAGGAGAAAUGGUACCAUCUACAAAUGAUCCAAUAAACAAUAUCAUUUUAGAAAAGGUGUUAUAUUUUAGGGGCAUUUUACAAAACAGAAAUUAUGGGCACAAAUGCAAUAAGGGAUGCAGUGUUGCCUCUGACAAAGAAGAUGUGAAGAGGCAAAGCCUUAACUGUGCUGGGUUUGAACAGUCCACUGCUGCAGUUGGACAAGCACCUGAAGAGGAAAGUUCAAGGAGCAGCAAAGAAAAUACUGAGUUAACUUCUACAUCUGAAGACACAGGUAAUUGUGCUACAUCUGCACCAGAGAAACAUUUACCAGGUACACUAACCUCUCCUGCAGGAAACUCAAAACAUUCUCUUGAAACUGAAUCUUUUGGAAAGAAUGCAUUGGUAGAUUUGGAUUUGCCAGUAAAAAAACACUUGGAUAUAACUAUGCCUGCAAAUGGUGAUGGCAAGCUUGUUUAUUCAGGUGACUAUGAAGAUGAAACAUUUGUCAGUAGCAAUGAUGAAAGUAAAUGGUGUGAUAAGUACUUAGAGAAUGGCAUGACAACUCUUCAUUAUUCAUUAACUGCAUUGAAGGAGCUGAUUGCUAGUCUGGAGAAUGUAGAGACCAUUGCAGAGAUGGAUAACCUUCCUAAAGUUAUACUGCAACAAUAUUGGAAUGGGGAUAUAGAUAACAUUAAUCUCUUUACAUUCACAGAAUAUCCACAAAUUAUGGUGAAAGUUGCUGCCACUUGCGCAAAGAAUGAAGAUGAGAGUCCAGUGGUUCUCACCACAGUGCCUGGAGUUACCUUUGAUGAACUGACUGAGAAGCACCCAAGUUCAACGCGCAACAGCGGAUCAUCACAAGAAGAAAAUAAGUCUCUCAGGUUAAAUAUUAACAAGAAUUUGGAUGACCAAAUGGCCGGUGUUUCUUGGGCUCUGAAACCCAUGACGGAGAGGGAGAAAGGAGGCCUAAAACCAGUGGAGACAGUAGGGUUGGACAAUGUGCAAGGUGUGACAGAUGUCUCCGAUCUUCAAACCAUGUCAUGUUCAGGGGUAUUUGAAAACGAAACAUUUGAACACACAUCAUUCACUGAAACAGAUGCAUAUAAGAAAAGGAUGAAAGAAGUUGAAGACCAACAGCACUGUGAAGUUAUCUGUAAGGAAGUAAUUAAACAUUCCAAGCUAAAUUCAUCAAUUGACAAUAUUCGGAUUGAUAAUGUUCUGUCAAUUCCCGGAACAAGUCAUGGAGGUGCGAGAGAGGAUGCAGGCUCUGUGCAUAUACUAACUGAUGUAAGCAUAGCACUUUCUGAAAACAAAGUUGAAGAACACUCAUGUCCAUCUAAAAGUGAGGGCGAGGAAGCACUCUCUGUGAUAAAUCUACAAUAUGAAGAAAUUUCAGAUGAUGAAGGCAUAUCUCAACUGGCCACAGAACUUCCAAAAACAGAGCACAAGGAAUUAAGCUUUCAAGUAAGUUUUGGAAAUCCACAGUAUGAAGAUAUAAGUGAAGAUGACAAUACACAGACUGAAAAUAUGGCCAUGGAGGUGUCUUCAUUUACAGUACAUGAACCAAACAAUAAGCAGGCCCCAUUUGAAAAUGAAAGCUAUGGACAUAUGCAAGGUCAGGCUCAGAUGCAGACAGAAAUCAUCUCAGAUGAGGAACUGAUUCCAAAGAAGGUGGUUUCACCAGUGACCGAAACACUUGAUAUAGCGCAUUGCCCUAGUCCAUGUUCUGAUGACUGGAUGGUUAUACCUAUAAGCAUGGCUGACCUUAAAUUUGAACCAGAAGAUGAAGACCUGGGUGGCCCAGAAGAAGUUGUGCUAAAUGAUGGCGGUGAAACAGUAAAGAAAGAAACACAGUGUGUCACAAGUCCAACACGCUGUGAGUUACAAUGGCCAGCUCUAGAGGCCUUUGACACCGUUGCUAGCUUUCUACAACAAAAAGGUGUACAAUUUAAAACAUUAGCGGUAGUACCUGCCACAAGCGCACCAGAAAAUGACCCGGACUGUGAGAAAGAACCACAUACGCCUCAGGACAGAAGAGCGUCAUACCCUGAGUCUGAAGACAGCUGUGAAACUGAGGACAGCUGUGAUUACUCAUCUGACUCAGAACACAACAUUUUGACUGUGUCCACGCAGAGGCCAGUACCUCCCCAGCCUAAUGAAAGUUGUGAUACAGAGAACAGUUGUGAUUACCCAGCUUCUCUGUCCCCACCUCUGUCUGUUGAGUCUGUGUCUGAGGAUGAUGAUGAGGAUGAUGAUACAGAUGUGCAAAAAGGCCAAACCAGGUUCAAGCAGGUUCAACAUAAAAAGAAUGGACAAAUUAUAGACACAAUAAUCAUUGAUUCUGACACAGAGGAUGAAAGUGACGAACACUAUAAAAAGAAGGCAAAAGCAAAGAGGUUAUUUACUUCAGGCUCAGAUGACAGUGAAGAUGUACCAUUUAGUCAACAAAAUAGACAUUCACCUCAAACUGUGGACAGUCCGUGUGGAACUGUGGGUGAAGUAGUGAUGCAGGAUGAAUGCUCUGAGAGUGUUCAACAUAACGGACAAAUUUCUAAAAACGAAGAUGUAAUAAACCUUGUCUCUGACACAGAGGAUGACGAGGACAAAAACGUCUCCCCAUGUGUUCAACAAAAGAGACAAUCACCUCAAGCUAUGGAAGAGUAUGGAACGUUCAGAGGAACCAGACUGUUCUUUGCAGACUCCUCACUGACACAGCAUCAGUCUAAACUGGUGUCAGAAGAAAGAAAGAAGGCAAACCCAAAGAUAAUACGCUCAUCAGGAUCAAAGGACAGUGAUGCUACAAAAAUCAGACCUCCAGCUGAAACUGUGGACCGUCUUUGUGGAAUUGCCAAGAAAAAACCUAAAACAUCCAAACUGUCAUCUGAAGAUUCACAAAAGAUGCAUUCCCUUUCUGCAGACAAUGAGGCAGAAUCCACUUUGGGUCCUACUCCUGUGGUUCCUCGCCUUUUUGUUCUUAAGUCUGCUCAACCUAACAACUUGAAACUUUCAAAAGAAUCCAGAGACAACAUGCAUGGUGAUGGUAAAACUCAGGCUCCAAAGACUGGAACCAGCAAAAAGACAGACUUCUGUGAAAACAGUACACAGUAUCCCAUCAUAAAAAAACAAGUAAGAUUUGUGUUCAAACCAAAACCUCCAAAUGACAGACACCGUGCAACAAAGAAUAUAGUGCAGACCAAUGUAGCAAAACCCAUACUGGUUUCAAGACCACAAUCAUUACCUGACCAGGAAGGCCCAUCAACCUCCAGCGGUUGCUCAUCUUCCACUAGCGGACAACAUUCUGAAGCCAGACAAAGCCCCUCCUCGUCUAGAGCCUUGUCUCAGUCUGGAAAAACCUCCGCCUCCUCCAGUCUUCCAAGACAACAGUUGUCCUCAUCCAAACUGCAGCGGUCGAACAGCAACCCUUCAACAUUAGAUCAUCAUAACACUCCCACCGAAGGUCCUUCAUUUUCUGCAACCAGGCAGUCUUCAGCAAAGAAACAAGUGAAGAAAGCCUGGGAGAGUAGCCAUGUCCCAACAAGGAUAUACAGAAAAAGUUACCCGGGGACUGAGGAAGACUCGGGAACCCCAAAAUAUAAUUUGGUCAAUGAUGCAAGACUGGGACAUAUUCAUGACUGGGUACCCAGACGGAGGCACGGCUCCAAUGAGUCUACACCCCACCUGUUGAAGAAGUCAAAGUCUGAUGCCAUACAGUGGACAAGGGCCACAAAUCGAGACACGGCAAACAAACAAAGAUCGUCUGCUGUGAGCAAAGGUUACAAGUGGUCAGAGAAGCCAACAGUGGCUAAACCAACAAGAAGGUGAUACUUAACAUAAUUUCAUAACAUAUAUGCACUGUGCAGUUUCACCAGGUUUUGUUUUCUGACAUUCUUUGUUCUCUGCCAUUCUUUGUUGUAGGUACCGGAGGUAAGGCAAGAAAUGUAGAACUUCACAGAGACCCCCAUCUGUGGAAAAAAGGUGCCACUGUUGAACUCCCACAGGGUCAGGUGGUUGAGGGGCUGUUGUAGCUGAUUGUGUCUUUCAUUUUCCAGAGCAUUUGGAUUUGGGUGUAGUACAAUGACAUACUACGUUGUACCUAAUAUCAGUGACUACCUGUACUGUACCUGUAUUAUACCUAGACUAUAUUGUACCUAUAUUAUAAAAACUGAAUAGUCUGUAUUUUAAGUAACUACUUACUGUAUAUGUAGAUACACAUACUGUAAAUACUAUAUAUUAUAUCUUUUUGCAGUUAUGUUAUUGUGUGUGAAUGUUGCGGCGUCAACUGAAAACCAAUAUUCUUUUUAUCAGCUACCUCAAAUUGUGUGAAGAUUACAGCAUUAUGCUGUUGCAUUUUUUUCUUUGAAUUCUGUAUAAACUUAUAGAUAUUUUAAUGCUAUUUUUUUUAUUAUUCACAUUCCUUACCCAUUUCAAGUGUUUCAACUGUUUUUGUACUUUGAAAACUCCGCUUUGAUUGCUACUACUAUUUCCUAUGGGCAAUGUUGUGUUCGUUUUUAUAAAGUUAAUGUCACAAUGCAUAGUCUAAUGGAUUUAUUGUUGUCCACUUUGUGUAUACUUCUGAUUCACCACUAGAGGGAGACAUUGCUAUAUACAUUGCACCUACAGUUGCUCUCCAUUUUAAGUGAUGCAAACCAAUGCCUGUGUUAAACCCUUAUAUAAACUGUCAAUGGUUAAACCAUUAUAUUGUGACUGGUCAGAUUCAUCAUCAGUCAUCUGAACAGGAACAGCAGUGGCAGCUAUAUUGAAAUUCUCAUCAUGUUAUAUUGGCAGCUUUAAAAUUGCGUCUCCAUCGUAUUGUCAUACAUUUCAGCAGUUGUGAUAGCCGAAGCUGGUGUUGAUCAGUGGAGCCAUAUCUGUCAAUAUUUAGUCAAUCCUUCAAUCUUUUUCUUAAAAGUUGACCAUUCAUUGCAUUGCAUCAUAAAAUGGAUCUGUUGGAUUUUUGUGUAAUGGCUGUAAUAUAUGAAACUAUUGGGUUUAUAUCCAUGUCUGUAAGUAUGCACUUGUUUUGCACAGAAUAAGAAGUAAAAAGUUGAAAUUUCAGUCACCUAUGUCAACCCUGAAUUUAAUUUGUACAUUAGAAUGACCUAGAUGUUUCCUAAAGG